UACAGAGGUCUCAAGCGUUGUUCGGAUUCAUUGGGCGUAAAGGGUGCGUAGGCGGCGCGGUAAGUCGGGUGUGAAAUCUCGGAGCUUAACUCCGAAACUGCAUUCGAUACUGCCGUGCUUGAGGACUGGAGAGGAGAUCGGAAUUCACGGUGUAGCAGUGAAAUGCGUAGAUAUCGUGAGGAAGACCAGUGGCGAAGGCGGAUCUCUGGACAAAUCCUGACGCUGAGGCGCGAAGGCUAGGGGAGCAAACAGG
rnacentral:rRNA from 1 species